rnacentral:misc_RNA from 1 species
AUGAUCAAUAAAGCGGGGAUCGAACCUUAAUUUUUGUUAAGGUGAAGGUUUCGCGAAUCAUAUUUAAAACCCCACACUUUAUACAAAAAUGUUAUAUAUCAUAUAUAAUAAUAAAAAAAAAAAGA